UACAGAGGUCUCAAGCGUUAAUCGGAAUUACUGGGCGUAAAGCGUGCGCAGGCGGUGAUGUAAGACAGUUGUGAAAUCCCCGGGCUCAACCUGGGAACUGCAUCUGUGACUGCAUUGCUGGAGUGCGGCAGAGGGGGAUGGAAUUCCGCGUGUAGCAGUGAAAUGCGUAGAUAUGCGGAGGAACACCGAUGGCGAAGGCAAUCCCCUGGGCCUGCACUGACGCUCAUGCACGAAAGCGUGGGGAGCAAACAGG
rnacentral:rRNA from 1 species